AGUCGGUCGUUCCCCUGUUAAGCGUGGUGCCUUCUCCCUGACAGAUGGCCAAUGACCGGGGAGAACCCGUAGGGCUGGUCUUCUGGCAGCGACGCCAUGCCCGUCAAAACCCAUGCCACUCGGCUGGGGUCUGCGCCAAAACUGGUGCUGUGCCGCUCUCUAGAUUUAGCUUUAGCUUCUCUGCUCCUCUGGCCCCUGAUGGGCAAGAAAGGGAAGGAAGCUAAGGCUGGCCUGGUGGGCGGAGACGGCGGCUGACCCAACCGCGAGUAGAGAGCUCGCUCCGCCGGAAGGGAUGCGCUAGGAUGGAAUCUUCCUACCGAGGCCGGCUCUUUCCGCUCCAGAGUGGGUGGAGGGCCGAGGGGGCCGCGGCCUAGCAGCUGGAGCUCGGCCUGGGAGAAUCGUCUCCAGCCUCUUGGGACUCGCCCUCGCCCAAGUCUUUAGCAGCUCCCAGCGGGGCGCAGAGCUUCCUGGAAGAUGCAGCCCAGUGAAGGGCGUGGAGCUUCCUUCGGCGCUUAUCCGUCUCCGAGCGUCGGCUGGGGUCGCUCGGCGGGACGCGGCAGGCGGGGACAGUGACCCCGGGGAGCCGCGCGGUCUCCCACCAGCGGCGUCGUCUGAGGGGCCGGGGGAAUCUAGAGCAGGCUGGCCGUGUCCGGGAAGCUCUGGGUUCUCCUUCCAUGCCUGUGAACCUGCUCCCACCCUCUCUACUUACUCCUUGACCUGGAGAUCUGCAGCUGAAAUAGAAAGAGCUUUCUUGUUUUGUUUUGUUUUGAUUAUGCAAGUAUGGCAUGCUUAGUGUAGAAAAGAAAGUUAAAGUGGAAAAUUAUACAGGCAUCCAUAUCCACAAGAUCAUUUCUAUAUACACCUUCUUGCCUUUGCUUGAACUUGCUGGAGGGCAGGAGCCAAGACUGUUCUGUGAAGACUGCUGAAGUGGUUGCUACUUUCCCCCAAGGAAGAAGGAACUUCAAAGUCCUUUUUUCCAGGAAUUUGGACAUAGUGGCAUGGACCAUGGAGAUGAGAGUAACACCCAGAGGUGGCAAAGCAAUAAGACAGAAGGUGCCUGGAUUCCUGAUGAUUGUGGAGCCACCAGACUAGCCCUGGAUUUAUACCCAGAUUAGCCCUGAGCUAACUACUGCCAAUCCUCCUCUUUUUGCUGGGGAAGACUGGCCCUGAGCUAACAUCCACGCCCAUCUUCCUCUACUUUAUAUGUGGGACGCCUACCACAGCAUGGUUUCCCAAGCGGUGCCAUGUCCUCACCCGGGAUCCAGACCAGCGAACCCCCGUCCGCCGAAGCGGAAUGUGUGCACUUAACUGCUGCGUCACCCAGCCGGCCCCUACAAUUUCAAAUUUUUUAACAUAAAGUUGUACAUAGUAUUCCCCUUUGAUUAAAAUUUUUUAAAUCAGCAUGUAUGGUUUUGGGAUCAUGAGAGGGCACUUUAAUGGCGGUGGAGCAGCAGGCUAGGACGAC
rnacentral:lncRNA from 1 species